rnacentral:rRNA from 1 species
GAAGGGUGCAAGCGUUACUCGGAAUUACUGGGCGUAAAGCGUGCGUAGGUGGUCGUUUAAGUCCGUUGUGAAAGCCCUGGGCUCAACCUGGGAACUGCAGUGGAUACUGGGCGACUAGAGUGUGGUAGAGGGUAGCGGAAUUCCUGGUGUAGCAGUGAAAUGCGUAGAGAUCAGGAGGAACAUCCAUGGCGAAGGCAGCUACCUGGACCAACACUGACACUGAGGCACGAAAGCGUGGGGGAGCAAACAGGAUUAGAUACCCUGGUAGUCCACGCCCUAAACGAUGCGAACUGGAUGUUGGGUGCAAUUUGGCACGCAGUAUCGAAGCUAACGCGUUAAGUUCGCCGCCUGGGGAGUACGGUCGCAAGACUG